UACAGAGGUCUCAAGCGUUGUUCGGAUUCAUUGGGCGUAAAGGGUGCGUAGGCGGCGGGGUAAGUCGGAUGUGAAAUCCCAGGGCUCAACCCUGGAACUGCAUUCGAUACUGCCUUGCUCGAGUACUGGAGAGGAGACUGGAAUUUACGGUGUAGCAGUGAAAUGCGUAGAGAUCGUAAGGAAGACCAGUGGCGAAGGCGAGUCUCUGGACAGUUACUGACGCUGAGGCACGAAAGCGUGGGGAGCAAACAGG
rnacentral:rRNA from 1 species